rnacentral:rRNA from 1 species
GAGUUUGAUCGUGGCUCAGGAUGAACGCCGGCGGUGUGCCUAAUACAUGCAAGUCGUACGCACUGGCCCAACUGAUUGAUGGUGCUUGCACCUGAUUGACGAUGGAUCACCAGUGAGUGGCGGACGGGUGAGUAACACGUAGGUAACCUGCCCCGGAGCGGGGGAUAACAUUUGGAAACAGAUGCUAAUACCGCAUAACAACAAAAGCCACAUGGCUUUUGUUUAAAAGAUGGCUUUGGCUAUCACUCUGGGAUGGACCUGCGGUGCAUUAGCUAGUUGGUAAGGUAACGGCUUACCAAGGCGAUGAUGCAUAGCCGAGUUGAGAGACUGAUCGGCCACAAUGGAACUGAGACACGGUCCAUACUCC